rnacentral:sRNA from 1 species
ACUGUCGUUCUCAAAAUCGGUGGAGCUGCAUGACAAGGUCAUCGGGCAUUAUCUGAACAUAAAACACUAUCAGUAAGUUGGAGUCAUUACCGGAAAAACCACUUUAUCUGACCAUGCUGUUUUGUACCUGCCGGUAUCCACAUUUGUGGGUACCGGCUUUUUUAUUCACC